GGGGAAAACCGGCAAGCGCUGCUUUGCUGAGCAACACGCACUGGGGCUGAGCUUGCUUUCCGAGAGAGUUUCCCUUUCGAGAAGGCAGCUCCAGAAGCUCGUUUUGUGCCCUUUCUGAGAUGGGCCCUAGGUGGGUCCCUCCCUAGCAGGCGAAGGGUGGGGUGCUGGGCCAGUGCACACAAGGCCUUUCAGACCCCAUCCGCCUUCUCCCUGAAGGAGAGCACGUUUGAGUGGUUUCCAGCUCCGGUGACCCUCGCCAAGCACCGGUGCCAGGGAGCGGAGGCAGCCCAGACCCUCCUCGGCCUAGGGCGAGCCAGGCCUAGGGGCGAAACCGGCAAGCGCUGCUUUGCUGAGCAAACACGCACUGGGGCUGAGCUGCUUUCCCGAGGAGAGUUUCCUUUCGAGAAGGCAGCUCCCAGAAGCUAGUUUUGUGCCCUUUCUGAGAUGGGCCCUAGGUGGGUCCCUCCCGAGCAGGCGAAGGGUGGGGUGCUGGGGCCAGUGCACACAAGGCCUUUUCAGACCCAUCCGCCUUCUCCCUGAAGGAGAGCACGUUUGGAGGUGGUUUCCAGCUCCGGUGACCCUCGGCCAAGCACCGGCGCACAUGGAGCAGGAGGCAGCCCAGACCCUCCUGGCCGAGGGCGAGCACAGGCCUAGGGGCGAAACCGGCAAGCGCUGCUUUGCUGAGCAAACACGCACUGGGGCUGAGCUUGCUUUCCCGAGGAGAGUUUCCCUUUCGAGAAGGCAGCUCCCAGAAGCUAGUUUUGUGCCCUUUCUGAGAUGGGCCCAUCUGGGUCCCUCCCUAGCAGGCGAAGGGUGGGGUGCUGGGGCCAGUGCACACAAGGCCUUUUCAGACCCCAUCCGCCUUCUCCCUGAAGGAGAGCACGUUUGGAGGUGGUUUCCAGCUCCGGUGACCCUCGGCCAAGCACCGGUGCACAGGGAGCGGGAGGCAGCCCAGACCCUCCUCGGCCGAAGGGCGAGCACAGGCCUAGGGGCGAAACCGGCAAGCGCUGCUUUGCUGAGCACACACGCACUGGGGCUGAGCUUGCUUUCCCGAGGAGAGUUUCCCUUUCAAGAAGGCAGCUCCCAGAAGCUAGUUUUGUGCCCUUUCUGAGAUGGGCCCUAGGUGGGUCCCUCCCUAGCAGGCGAAGGGUGGGGUGCUGGGGCCAGUGCACACAAGGCCUUUUCAGACCCCAUCCGCCUCUCCUGAAGGAGAGCACGUUUGGAGGUGGUUUCCAUCUCCGGUGACCCUCGGCCAAGCACCGUGCACAGGGAGCGGGAGGCAGCCCAGACCCUCCUCGGCCAGGGCGAAACCUGUCAACCGCGUGCUUUGCUGAGCACACGCACUGGGGCUGAGCUUGCUUUCCCGAGGAGAGUUUCCCUUUCGAGAAGGCAGCUCCAGAAGCUCGUUUUGUGCCCUUUCUGAGAUGGGCCCUAGGUGGGUCCCUCCCUAGCAGGGGAAGGGUGGGGUGCUGGGCCAGUGCACCAAAGGCCUUUUCAGCCCCAUCCGCCUUCUCCUGGAAAGGAAGGC
rnacentral:lncRNA from 9 species